rnacentral:rRNA from 1 species
UUGGAUGGGGGGCACCUGAUCCAGCAUGCCGCGUGUGUGAAGAAGGCCUUCGGGUUGUAAAGCACUUUUGUCCGGAAAGAAAACGUUCUGGUUAAUACCUGGGGCGGAUGACGGUACCGGAAGAAUAAGCACCGGCUAACUACGUGCCAGCAGCCGCGGUAAUACGUAGGGUGCGAGCGUUAAUCGGAAUUACUGGGCGUAAAGCGUGCGCAGGCGGUUUUGUAAGACAGGCGUGAAAUCCCCGAGCUCAACUUGGGAAUUGCGCUUGUGACUGCAAGGCUAGAGUAUGUCAGAGGGGGGUAGAAUUCCACGUGUAGCAGUGAAAUGCGUAGAGAUGUGGAGGAAUACCGAUGGCGAAGGCAGCCCCCUGGGACGUCACUGACGCUCAUGCACGAAAGCGUGGGGAGCAAACAGGAUUAGAUACCCUGGUAGUCCACGCCCUAAACGAUGUCAACUAGUUGUUGGGGAUUCAUUUCUUCAGUAACGUAGCUAACGCGUGAAGUUGACCGCCUGGGGAGUACGGUCGCAAGAUUAAAACUCAAGAAAAAUUUGACGGA